rfam:Citreicella sp. 357 C357_106, whole genome shotgun sequence.
CGUGGUGCGUACGAUAACGCA